CAGCAAGGCUGAAGAAAAUCACUUACGAAAUGAAUUCUUAACCCAAAAUAAAUUCAAAUUCAAAUAGAGAACAUUCAUACUUGAAUACCUACCUUUAAUUUUUAAUUAAAAGUGUACUAAGUAUUUUAGAGAUUUCACCUUGUGUUAAUUAAAGAAAAUCCUCCAGCGGCUUCCAAAAUUAAAUCUGAGUUGCUUCAAUUAGCGGCAUGCUAAUUUAUUAUUACUGACUCUAAGUUUAAUUAAGAAAUUUGAUUACUCAAUUACUCUUAGAUAAUUAUAAGAAAUGUCCUAAAUUAGGUAGGUGAUCAAUCUAAUUAAUUUAGAGACAAAACUCUUUGAACAAAAAAAUUUAACAACUCAAGAAUGCUAAAUCCGAAUUUAAACAAAUAAACCUUCAAAUUUCUUGUGCUAAGUUUCAUAAGUGUCUAAUUGAGCUUAAUUAAUUUAGCCACUCAUAGCAAUCGAAACGAAACAAAAAUCAAUUGUAAACAGCAUAAAUUACAGACUGAAUACUAGAAAAGAAAAAUCUUCAAAUCGUCGAGUUUCCCUUCUUUCGAUUAGCUGAAAUUCUGGGCUGUUACUUCAAUUUUUAUUCGGCUUUGCUGAUUCAAUUUCAGAUUUCCCUUUGCUCGAGUGCCACGCUUCUCUGCUGCUGUGUGUUCCUCUGUUUUUUCGACUCUCCCCUUUUUUUAGCUGCUGGUCACUUCUAUUUAAGGAGUAAUGAUAUUAACCUUCCAUAAUUCAAAUAAAAUUUGAUCUUAUCCCCCUUUAUCCUAGCUGAAACCGUCGC
rnacentral:lncRNA from 1 species